CUAGAUGAUGAGGUGUAUUAGGACUAGAUGAUGAGGUGUAUUAGGACUAAAUUAUGUUGUGUAUUCGGACUAGAUGAUGAGGUGUAUUAGGACUAGAUGAUGAGGUGUAUUAGGACGAGAAGAUGAGGUGUAUUAGGACUACAUGAUGAGGUGUAUUAGGACUACAUGAUGUUGUGUAUUAUGACUACAUGAUGAGGUGUAUUAGGACUAGAUGAUGAGGUGUAUUAGGACUACAUGAUGAUGUGUAUUAGGACUACAUGAUGAGGUGUAUUAGGACUACAUGAUGAGGUGUAUUAGGACUACAUGAUGAGGUUUAUUAGGACUAGAUGAUGAG
ensembl:lncRNA